UGUUCCCCCGAUACCUUCCCCUCCGGGGCAGCGCGGGGAGCUCAUCCCCGGUCCCCCCCCCGAGGCCGCUGCCGCCUUCCCGCCGGCCGGGGCCAGGCGGGGUGGUUUCCUGAGGGUAGCUGGCGCGAAACUGGCCAGAGCCCCACGGGCAUCAAAGUAGAUCUCGUUGCGUUUCUGUGCUGAUUGGCAUCUCGUAAUUGUUCCUGAGCUGUUAAUUAACAGCUGGCAGUGUAUUUCCAUCUUGCUCUAGCUGCUGUGUGGUUUGCCUGUGCAGGAUGUUGUGAUGCAUGACCAAAAGAAUACCAAAGACAUCAAAUAAAAAUAUGACCUGUUCUCUUGACAACAGAAAUUACAGUAAAUUCCUAAAUUUCAUAGAUUAUCAGUUAAUUUUCCUUUUCAAACAUUAACAAUCUAAAUGCUGGCAGAUUAGGAAACAUCUAGAUCAUGGAGUUAAAUGUCAUAGGAAGAUUAUGCACCAAUUCACUGGUAUAUGUUUGUUAUUAUAAAAUGCUUUACUUUUUGUAGGGAAGAAUUUUUUUGGCCCUUAAUAUUUUUCAGACACUUUGGUUCACAUGACCUCAAUUCUGCCUAAACAAGUGCAGUAUAGAAAUAUAUAUGCUCGCAUCUCUGAACUUGUAUGUGUGCAGGAUGCGUUCAUAGCUCUUCAAAUGGGCAACGCACGUUUCAGGACAUAGGUGUGCAUAUUUGCAGUGGGCAGUUCUGAAAGUCAUCGAUUUAUAAGAUGAAACUGUUACAUUUUCUGUGACAAUGACUCAUCCACCUAUAGCUAGAGCAAAAUUCCAGAAAAGAAGAACUUACCUCAACAGUGUCAUCCUCCCUCCAGAAAGUUGAUUGUCUGCUUUGGAUAGUCACAGAAUAAUGUCCACAGUGCAAACAAGAACUACUUAGAAAGAGUCAUGAAGCCUGAGCCAUGCUGUACCAUCUUCUUUUGAAAGUCUUUUGAGAAUCCAUUCUCCCGAGAGGAUACUAGAGUGCAAAAGCCAACUGACUCCAGUGGCCUUGCUUUUCGUUUGUGAAACAGGUUCACACGUGCAUUGUGUGAU